UACGUAGGGGGCAAGCGUUGUCCGGAUUUAUUGGGCGUAAAGAGCGUGUAGGCGGUUUGGUAGGUCCGUUGUGAAAACUCGAGGCUCAACCUCGAGACGGCGAUGGAAACCAUCAGACUAGAGUCCGGAAGAGGAGAGUGGAAUUCCUGGUGUAGCGGUGAAAUGCGCAGAUAUCGGGAAGAACACCUAUGGCGAAGGCAGCUCUCUGGGACGGUACUGACGCUGAGACGCGAAAGCGUGGGGAGCGAACAGG
rnacentral:rRNA from 1 species